rnacentral:rRNA from 1 species
CCUACGGGUGGCAGCAGUGAGGAAUAUUGGUCAAUGGUCGGGAGACUGAACCAGCCAAGCCGCGUGAGGGAGGAAGGUACAGAGUAUCGUAAACCUCUUUUGUCAGGGAACAAAGACUGGGACGCGUCCCCGGAUGAGUGUACCUGAAGAAAAAGGAUCGGCUAACUCCGUGCCAGCAGCCGCGGUAAUACGGAGGAUGCGAGCGUUAUCCGGAUUUAUUGGGUUUAAAGGGAGCGUAGGCCGCAUGUCAAGCGUGCUGUGAAAUGUCCGGGCUCAACCCGGGCCUUGCAGCGCGAACUGGCGUGCUUGAGUCCGCGGAAGGCAGGCGGAAUUCGUGGUGUAGCGGUGAAAUGCGUAGAUAUGACGAAGAACCCCGAAUGCGAAGGCAGCUUGCUGCAGCGGAACUGACGCUGAUGCUCGAAAGCGCGGGUAUCGAACAGGAUUAGAUACCCGGGUAGUC